CUUAUGCUGUGCUUUGGUUUGCCUCUUGCAACUCAUCCUUCUGAAAAACAGAUCGAUGUAUAAAAUCAACCUCCCUCUGGGAAGGUAGAAGAGGAAAGAAAGUGUUCUACUGUUAUAAAGAAAUGCACUGAUUCACUUUACACCAGCCUUCCAAAGUUGGAGGUAAAAAGAAAAAGCUGAAGUACACAAGAACAGGAGUCUUUGAGAACCAGUGAAAAGGUGGUGAUUUGUUGCUGUGGUGAAACAGGCUGAAGUCCAGCCUCCAAUACUUCUUGCACAGGAAUUCAUAAUGGGUAAGUCCCUGUUAGUCACCACACAAAGAA